CAAGAAGAGUUUAGAAACACAGAAAUUGCUAAUUAUCUGAUCCGUAGUUAAAUUCCACG
rnacentral:tRNA from 1 species